AUCAUCUACAUAGACAUAACAUAUUUUCCCAAUUUGUUCUCGUAGAACAUCGUCGAUUUCCCUGUAUCCUGUAUCCCUGUAUCCAUGUAGCCAUGUAUCCAGCUCACGGUGAAGGGGGUGUCGACCGAAGUUACGUUUUUCAGCUCCUUUACGGGCUUUACGAUUAAAAUUUUUAGUGUUCUGCCAGCCAACUGUCGCUCGACGAACGGCAAUUGCCGAGUCACUUUCUUCGUCAAUAUCCGCAACCGCGGUCUCGGCUAAGUUUUCAUAUUCUUGUUCCCCUUGGUUAGGGGCCUGAUGUAUUAUAUUAGUUAUCCGUUGGCGUCUUUGCCCAGAUAUACGAUCUGACAUGUUCGCUCUGUGUUUUCCCCCACUUGGUCUGUUGCCUAAACCUAGACAUCGAUGGGUCAACCUUCUCAGGCUGCACUUGGUUUUGUUGUGGGGCCUCUUUAUCGUUUGGCUUUGGCCAAGGAUCACCCUGUUGCUGCCUAUUUUGAUUACUUUUUCCCACAAAAUGUGGGUUCUUUUCCUGACCUCUACCUUGCCUGGCCUGUAUAUUGCCGUCGCCUGAAUGGUUUUUUUCCUCGAUCGCCUUUGCAUAAGUAGC
rnacentral:lncRNA from 1 species